CGACUGCUGCGGUGUACGGCUAGAAGGGUCUCGGCGAAGUGGACUCGACCGGAUUGUUUCUUCAGUAUGUUCAGUGAGUGAAUUGAAUUCUGUAUCGAAGCUGCGAUUCCGAUAACCGAUUACGUUUAGUACAUAUUGAGUUACAACAAUUUGGUAGUCCAGACAAGAUGUUGCAGUCCAUUUCACAGGAGAAAUUAAAAUUGAUGCAGUCUAAUUUACAUGAGGAAUUGAACCUAAUGCAAUACAGUUUACAGGAGAAAAGAUUCCAGAAGGAAAUUGCAAUGGGCUGAUAUUUUAUAUAGAUGACUUUUACUCACAUGUCUUACAGUUGAUUGUUCUGCCAAUGACUAGGAAGAUUUAUUGGACAUACUAGUAGCAAGAUCACGAUUUGAAGAAAUCCUUGUUUACAUUGAGAUGCUGAUUGUAUCAAAUGAAUUUAUAACGAAAAAUCCAAUUAACUUGGAAAAUCAUAAGUGCCGGCGCUACCGGGCUCAACAAUAUGGCAAUAUGGACUUGCCGACAUACAUAUUGUGGAAUAUGUGCACUUUUGAAGAAAAUUACAAGAAUGAUGCUCUACAAAUCGUACAGUGAAUCAAACAAUAUGGACUUGCCGACAUGCAUAUUGUGGAACAUGUGCACUCUUGAAGGAAAUUACAAGGAUGAUGCUCUACAAAUCCAACAGUAAAUCAAACAAUAUGGAUUUGCCGACAUGCAUAUUGUGGAACAUGUGCAUUCUUGAAGAAAAUGACAAGAAUGAUGCUCUACAAAUCCUAGAGUGAAUCAAAGAAUCGUGGGCCCUAACCGAAGAGAAUAAUGCCAAAGAAUUGAGCUGUAGGAUUUCAAAGAGGCUGCAGCUUUUAUUGAAUUAGAUGAGAUGCAUUUUGAUAGCCCAAAAAGCAGAGUCGAUGUGCCUUCUCCAUCGAGUCAUUAUGAGGGAUUGAUGCUAAUAAUGGAAAUCAAAAGACAAAAAUGCCGUCGUGUGCCUGAGGAUUUUGCAAACGGGCAAAAUAUAAGAUUCCAGAAGGAAAUUGCAAUGGGCUGAUAUUUUAUAUAGAUGACUUUUACUCACAUGUCUUACAGUUGAUUGUUCUGCCAAUGACUAGGAAGAUUUAUUGGACAUACUAGUAGCAAGAUCACGAUUUGAAGAAAUCCUUGUUUACAUUGAGAUGCUGAUUGUAUCAAAUGAAUUUAUAACGAAAAAUCCAAUUAACUUGGAAAAUCAUAAGUGCCGGCGCUACCGGGCUCAACAAUAUGGCAAUAUGGACUUGCCGACAUACAUAUUGUGGAAUAUGUGCACUUUUGAAGAAAAUUACAAGAAUGAUGCUCUACAAAUCGUACAGUGAAUCAAACAAUAUGGACUUGCCGACAUGCAUAUUGUGGAACAUGUGCACUCUUGAAGGAAAUUACAAGGAUGAUGCUCUACAAAUCCAACAGUAAAUCAAACAAUAUGGAUUUGCCGACAUGCAUAUUGUGGAACAUGUGCAUUCUUGAAGAAAAUGACAAGAAUGAUGCUCUACAAAUCCUAGAGUGAAUCAAAGAAUCCUGGGCCCUAACCGAAGAGAAUAAUGCCAAAGAAUUGAGCUGUAGGAUUUCAAAGAGGCUGCAGCUUUUAUUGAAUUAGAUGAGAUGCAUUUUGAUAGCCCAAAAAGCAGAGUCGAUGUGCCUUCUCCAUCGAGUCAUUAUGAGGGAUUGAUGCUAAUAAUGGAAAUCAAAAGACAAAAAUGCCGUCGUGUGCCUGAGGAUUUUGCAAACGGGCAAAAUAUAAGCAAUGGCAAUGAUGAUGCUGCCAAAGAAUCUUUGCUGAGCAAGACCAACAAAAGAAUGUAAGCGAUGAAGAUGCUUUUCGGUGCCCCAUAAAUGACUGCUGACUGAGUGGUGCAAGAAGCACUAAAGAUUAGUGGCAAUGAUGAAGCUGCCAAAGAAUCAUCGUUGAGCAAGACCAACAAAAGAAUGUAAGGGAUGAAGAUGCUUUUUGGAGCCCAAUAAUUGACGUUGCCGUUGAGCGAGUGGCGCAAGAAGAACUGAAAAUUGCUUGCAAUGGUUACUAUCUACUGUCCAAGAAUGCCACAACUGAUGCUUCCUAAGAACGCCAAUCAUGUUUUGCAAGCAACGAUAAAAUUGCUUGCAAUGAUUACGAGGUACUGUCCAUGAAUGCUACAACUGAUGCUCCCUAAGAAUGCCAAUCAUGUAUUGCGAGCAACGAUAAAAUUGUCUUUGAUGAGUACUACCCACUUGCCACUGCCCAAUAAUGGUACUACUGAUGAUGCUGCUUAAGAAUGACGAUAAUCUAUUAUGAGCCACCACCACUCGGAUGGUGUUUGAAGAAAUGUUAGCAGUGGUUAUUAAAUUGCUUGCAACGACUACUACUAUUGCCAAGAAAAAUGCUUGAACUGAUGCCCCCUAAGAAUGAUGAUCAUGUAUUACGAGCAACGAAUAAAUUGCUUGCAAUGAUUACUACAUACUGUCGAAGAAAGCCACAACUGAUGCUUCCUAAGAAUGCCAAUCAUGUAUUGCGAGCAAUGAUAA